CUUCCCUCUUCUCCUCUCCUCCUUUUCCGUCGGCCAUCGCCAAAGCUUAGGGCCAUCUUCACCUUCGUUAUAGUUGGAAAAUUUAUUCUGGGGACUGCCUAUUCAUGGAUGCCUGUUUCAUAUUCUUCUUGGCAUCACAAACUCGAAAUCAGCAUAUGUUAGAUGUCGAUGAAUUGUUUGCUGAAAUGUUAUCCCUGGCAAAGAAGGAGGUCUUUUGCAGGCUAAGGAAGGAAAGAAAGUCUCUAUCAUUUUGGGCACCGAUUCUUUCAUUUUCGAUAUCAUUCAGGGGAAGGAGCUCCCAGGUUUCCAAACUCCAUAUUGCGUGAGCUUUGAACGUAUCAGUCCAAGUGACUAGCUUGGUCUAAGAGGGAAAUAUUGCUGGUUAUCUCUAUGUAGUAUGCUUAUUGGACGAUAACGAGUAAGGGGCCCGAGAUGUGUCAUCGCAUUAUACGGAGCUUUGGAUUGUCCACCCUUUAUUUUCAUCUUCUAAGCUGGAGACAAGGAAUGGACUCAUCUGGUUCUUCUUCAGAUAAUGAAUCUGUGGAAACUGUUGAAGAUUCUUUAAGUGAUAAAGAAAAAGACGAUGCAGAGAUGGAUAAUAUGUCACAGGGGCCUUCUACUGGAGAGAAUGUUGUGCAGAAGAUAUCCCAAGCUUCAAAGGAAGGUGACUCUGGUUCUGCAGUUGUGAAAUAUACCAAUAAUAUUGAUAAAUCAAAAGCCAAUGGCAACUCACAGUUGGAGCCGGAAGUUGGUAUGGUAUUUCAUUCAGAAGAUCAAGCAUAUUUAUUUUAUAAUAGAUAUGCUCAUCAGAAGGGUUUUAGUGUCCGGAUGGGUCAUCUUGGCCGAAGAAAAGAUGGGACCGUACGGAAUAGAGUUUUCUUGUGCAGCAAUGAAGGCUCUCGUCAGGAGCAUACUACACAUAUGACGAAGAAACCACGUGAAGCUGUGAGAACAAAUUGCAUGGCUCGUAUUGAGUAUAAAGUGAGUCGUGAUAAUGUAUGGGUUGUGAGUAAAAUCAUCUUUGAACACAACCAUCCACUCCUACGUCCGCAUAAAGCACACUUGUUAAGGUCUCAUAGGAAGUUAUUGUUGGCUCAGCGUGAUGGAAUGCCAAAUGCUGCAGAAAUGGGUAAUGAUGCAGAUAAUCCUGCUCAAGCUUUGGAAUUUCUGGUGGAAGAGGCUCGUGACGCUGAAACUGUUGGGUUUCUGCUGAAGGAUCAAAGCAGCUAUCUGCACACCAACAGGAUGAGAGAACUUGAAAAGGGAGAUGCUCAGGUUCUUUUAGAAUUUUUGAAAGCCAGGCAGUUAGAGGAUCCUUCCUUUUUUUAUGCCAUACAACUUGAUGAUAGAGAACAAGUGACCAACUUCUUUUGGGCAGAUGCACGCUCUAUACUUGAUUUCUCCUACUUUGGUGAUGUGGUCUUAUUUGACACAACUUAUAGGACGAACAAGGGUGAGAUACCAUUUGCACCAUUCAUUGGCAUAAACCAUCAUAAGCAAAUUGUGGUAUUUGGUGCUGCUUUGUUAUUGGAUGAAACAACGGAAUCAUUUGUUUGGUUAUUUAAAACCUUUAUGGUAGCAAUGUCUGGACGACAACCAAAGACAAUCUUUACAGAUCAUUUCCCUGCAUUGUCAAGGGCAAUAAGUUUGACAUUACCUGAGACAUGUCACCGUCUUUGUUUGUGGCAUAUAUUGCAAAAUUCAGCGGUACAUAUUUCCCAUGCAUAUAGCAGCGAGCCAGAUUUUCAGAAGGGUUUCAAAAAUUGCAUCUAUGAAGGUGGCUCCGAAGAGGAUUUUCAUACUCGAUGGGUUGAUUUGGUUAAUAAGUAUGGCCUUGAAGGAAAUGCAUGGUUGGAAGAUUUAUAUGCAAUACGAGAGAAAUGGGCUCUGGUUUACCACAAAAAUUCUUUUUGUGCUUCCAUGACAACAGUGAAAUGGAGUGAGAGCAUGAAGAAUCACUUUAAAAAGCAUUUCAACAGGAAGCUGCCACUUUCCAAAUUUUUAGAGCAGUAUCAAAAGUCACUGGUUCGGUUUUGUGAGAAGGAACUCUAUGAAGAUUACAAAUCAAGGCAAACUAAACCAGUUUUGCUGGGUGAUAUGCCCAUGUUGAAUGAAGCAGCAGAAUCAUAUACAAGGCUGGUAUAUAAUGAAUUUGAGGAUGAGAUCAAGAGUCAGCUUUCUUGUCUUUGUGAACAAGUUGGUUUUGACGGGACAGUAGAUGUUUAUAAAGUUUCCCUUCCUGAAAAACACAGUUAUGGGAUUGUUGAAUAUAACUCAUCCAAUUUCAUGGUCACUUGUAGCUGCAAAAAGUUUGAGACUACUGGCAUCUUAUGCAUGCAUGCAUUAAAGGUUCUUCUCCUUCGGAGCAUUCUUAGCCUCCCAACUCGGUAUAUACUAAAGAGGUGGACAAAAUAUGCGAAUGUUGAGGCCAUGUCUGAUAGACAUCGAUCAAUUGCUGACACUGAUGGUCAAGAACCUCUGACACUGCAAUAUACCCGGGUAUGCCAUAAGGCAAUUUCUGAGGACGCCUUACAAAUAUUUGAAAACGAACUCGAUAAACUGAUGUCGGGAUUAGAAAAUGUGUUGCGUAUUGCUCCAUUGAGUAGACAGACAGAUGAGGAAGAUGUGACUGUCGUUGAUGAUAUGCAGCGGAAUGCAUUAGAAGGAAGUAAGAAAAGACGAGGCUGCAAAGGGCGCCCUAAGGGAGGACUUGAGCAGAAACGGAACAAGAAAAUUCAACCCACUUCCAGUUCAGUUGACAUCAUUACCCAGAACCAGCAAUCACAGAAUAAGACGAAGACAAGAAAAGCUGAUGUAUUGGGUCAAGCUAUGGUUAAUGAGUCCUCAAAUGUUCCUUCCUAUACUCCGAAUGGUACAACAUCAUGCUGUACCCCAAUUCAAAUGCAACCCUCAGGAUGCACAUUUUUUACUCAAGAGGUGGUCAUGCCUGCUCAGGAAUCAUUUACACCCUCACAAGGUAUAUUUGACCAUACAAUGGCAACCCAAGCAGUAAGAAAUCCUAGCAUAGCAUGGUGCACUCCUAGGGGCUCUGUUGGUGUUCCUAUGCCAAUCAUGCAGGGACAAUCCAACAAUUUUGUUGGUUGGAUGGUUCAACCUCGUAGUGUUCCAAAUGUUUCCCUGUCCCCACAUCAUCUUGAUGAACCAAUGGUAUGAGUUAUUCGACAAAUAGAAUGUUUUUGUUCUUUUUUCUUGUUUUAGUUAAGGUAUCCUUUUAUUUUGGUGCAGCAUUCUGCUCUUCCGGGUCAACAUCAGCCAUCGUCCCGCAAGCUUAACUUUGAUAUAAACAAAGGUAACUGACUGGGACUUCAUUCACAAGGCAUCAAUGAUUCCGCUUGGAUCUGAAUUGCUUAUAAUGGGAACUCUGUAUGGACUUUCUGCUUUUUUGGGGAGCACUGUUCAUGGAAGUACCACAGCCAUAUAUUUUUCGUAUCAUUAGCAUUCUUUCGAUUGUUAGUACUUUGUUUUGAGAGAUACCAUGCUUGUUGUUGGUUACUCCAUCUUUAAUAUGGAAAAGCUGCCAAUAGAAAUUCUGAACAGCUCAGGGCCUGUUUGGGAAAUCCAGCAGAAUUAGGCAUUUAGGCUGGAUUUCCUAGGGGAAUUGCCACUGUUAGGCCUGCCCGGGCCUUUUUGUUUUCAAAGGUCUAUCCUAGGCUUGGCCUGUAUCCCAUAUAUUGGCUUGUUGGAUUGACAUAUGGAGGUCUUUUUUUUUUCUCCCGCAGGAUUUGACCUGGACAGAGAUCGGGUUGAUAUGGGCCUUACCUAAAUAGAUCGUGUAAUCCAUGAUCUAACAGCAGAUCUAGCCCAAUGCUGCUGGAUUUUCCAAACUGGCUCUAAUACAGAUGAAGAAAUGGUUUCACUAAUAUGGUCUUUCAUUGAGUUGGUAUUACAGAAAAAAUAAGAAAGGCUACCCAUGCAGCACCUGAUAGUGGUGAAGCUGGGAAGAAAUCAGUAGAAUGACUUGAUUGUAGUGUUUCCAAAAUAGGUUGCUGCAGGGGAAAUGACUUGGAAGUUGCUGUUGUUGGGUUCCUCUUCGCCUAAAAGUUCCUGCAGAGCGUGUUUUCAGCUGAGGUUCCAAGAGGCGGCUCAAGUGCUAUGUUCUUUAUGAAGUUUAGAAGUGUGGCUGGUGCUCAGUUUAAAUCACCUGAAGAUGCCGCUUCUUAAUUGGCGAAGGUUUUCAUGACAAGGUUGGUAGUUAUUGUUGAACCGAUAUAUUUUGUAUGUAUCGGGUUCUUAUUGUGGUGAAGGCUUUUUUGGAUGUUUGCAUUGGAGCUGCGACUGCCCCCUCUUGAUGUCCUGGGUACUUUGAGAAAACCUCUUGCUUAUGCCGUUUAGAUGCUUAUUCUGCUGUUGUUAGUACUUUGAAAACUCUCUGGUUGUGUUUUAGUCUGUUUAAUAGUUGCGACUUUUUCCAGGAGUUUGUAAGGCCGUUUCUGGUGCUGUUUGUGUGUCAUUUGUUUUUCUAUAGGGAUUCUGGCUUCUCAUGAUUUCUUGUUCCUCUUGUUCCCUGGGUUCUGUUAUGUUUAUUCUGCACCUUUUUGCUUUCUACCAUGAAUGUGUAGUGGUCUGUCAGACCUCAUAUGUUCUUUGCUUUCUCAACAGAAAAAAAGAACAAAAAUCUACACAUGGCUUUUAUCGA